rnacentral:rRNA from 1 species
CCUACGGGAGACAGCAGUGAGGAAUAUUGGUCAAUGGACGCAAGUCUGAACCAGCCAUGCCGCGUGCAGGAAGACGGCUCUAUGAGUUGUAAACUGCUUUUGUACGAGGGUAAACGCAGAUACGCGUACCUUUCUGAAAGUAUCUUACGAAUAAGGAUCGGCUAACUCCGUGCCAGCAGCCGCGGUAAUACGGAGGAUUCAAGCGUUAUCCGGAUUUAUUGGGUUUAAGGGGUGCGUAGGCGGUCGGAUAAGUUAGAGGUGAAAUCCCGAGGCUCAACUUCGGAAUUGCCUCUGAUACUGUUCGGCUAGAGAGUAGUUGCGGUAGGCGGAAUGUAUGGUGUAGCGGUGAAAUGCUUAGAGAUCAUACAGAACACCGAUUGCGAAGGCAGCUUACCAAGCUAAUUCUGACGUUGAGGCACGAAAGCGUGGGGAGCAAACAGGAUUAGAUACCCUAGUAGUC